rnacentral:rRNA from 1 species
UACGGAGGAUGCGAGCGUUAUCCGGAUUUAUUGGGUUUAAAGGGUGCGUAGGCGGAUCGUUAAGUCAGUGGUCAAAUUGAGGGGCUCAACCCCUUCCCGCCAUUGAAACUGGCGAUCUUGAGUGGAAGAGAAGUAUGCGGAAUGCGUGGUGUAGCGGUGAAAUGCAUAGAUAUCACGCAGAACCCCGAUUGCGAAGGCAGCAUGCCGGCUUCCUACUGACGCUGAAGCACGAAAGCGUGGGGAGCAAACAGG